UAAGAUUUGAUUUUCCAAAAUCAAGAUCUGAAGAGAUGGGAAAAGUUGGGAAAAAAAAAAGAGAUGGGAAAAGAAAUACCUUCAAUUCCGCUGCUAUGUAGUAACAGAGACAUGAUCAUGUUGUACUGGGAAAGAACAGAGACAUGGAACAAGUUUUGUUAAUUAACCUAAUUAUGCUAUUUAUAAAUGUUUUCUUUCUCGUAGAAAAGAGGGAUAAUAUCUAAAUUAAUUAUUAGCAUAUUAUUUUUGAAUCCUAAAACUUGAUCAUGAAGGAUCUGACCUUGGGAUCGGUACCCAUGUCGGACACCCGCACCCGAGUCCGAGUAACUUAGAUUGCUACUCUUUUUUUUUUUUUUUUUUUUCCAAAAUUUCAUUGUCAAAUUCAUCUUUGAGGGAAACUGAUGCGUUAAUUCUUAAUUGUACCAGCUUUUAAUGGAUUAUAAAUACAAGCGGUUUUAAUCUUUCAAGCAGAAGCUUCAGUUAGAACUUUUCGACAAGGAGAAGAAUAAUAUUGGACAGAGGUGUAUUGAAAGAGCUCAACCUGGGUGAUUUUAUGAAGAAAGAUGAUAAAAUGGAGCACCUAACAAUGCAUUUUCACAGAACAAAAACUACGAGAUCGAGGGUCAGUUAUUCAGGGAUUUCACAGAGAACUUGGUAAAUGCAUGUCUCCAUCCAUGUUUGGUAGAGGUAUUCAGGUAUUUUAUAUCGCUAUUAGGGCCUGGUUUAUUUCAUCAUAUUCCCUCUUUAAGACUCAAGAUGCUUUAAUUGCGUGCAAAUGAUCUCACAUGUAUAAUGGUAUACAUAUUUUCUGGGAGGGAUGACUUAUUGAUGAGUGGGAUGGAAAAUUUGCAGGUAAAAGAAGACCGGACAACUAGCUUCUUUUUGACUUCUACUUGCAUGCUUCAAUGGGCACUACAUGGAAGAUAGAACAAAAUUAAAGCAACUAGACAACUACUACAGGCUCACUUAUGUCAGCAAAUUAGAUGGACCAUAUAUGCUAAACAAAUAAUGUAGAGUAAACCCUUUGUCUUUCUCCGGUAUGUAUAAUGAGAUAAUUAGUAAUUUGUUGUUUUACAUCACAAACUACCUUUUCACUGGUUAAAGGGCAUUUAAUAGUGUAAUCUUUCUGUCCUCUUAAGGAGCUUCUCUCUUCUGCUCUGCUUCACUGAAUCUUUCUACACCCCUUUGUUUGGUGGCUUUACAAGUCAAUUUUUCCUUUGGUACUCUUAGCUUGUAAUUGAUUCUACCCACCGUAAUUUAUUCUCAAAAUACAUAAGUUUUUUAUGUUAUAUUGUUUUAGCUUUGUUCGCGAAGUCAUAAGUUCGAUAGUGUAUAGAAAGGGGCGAAUAGAGAGGAUUUCUCUCAACAAUGACAUUGGUACUCUUGCAAGAAAAGAAAAAAAGUGCAAGGAAAAAGGAGAGUUGCAAUAUUAGAGAUAAGUGAUAUGUUUUUUGUCUACCAAAUCAUCUGUCGAGCAGAUAAUAAUGGUGAGUUUAAGAAUAUAUGUAUAUCAUGUUUAAGAAUAUAUGUAUAUCAUGUCUCUUAUCAUUUUGAAAUAUGAACAGUUGAUUGAGAUUUUGGGAAUCUUAUGGCCUUUUGAUAAAUAUUAUAUGGAGAUAAAAGUGCAGUAGUAGCAUCAAUGUACAAUGUAGAACCAAACAAACAUGAAACAUUAACUAGCAAAUUUCAGGAGGGUAUAUUAUCCACCGGGCCUUAAAUAGUGUGCUCUCUCUAAAUCCUUUCAGGGUACAUGUUCUAAUCAAUUGCUAAGCAUUCCCCUUCAAAAAUAAUUUCUAGCUCAACUUUUUUAUAUUCUUAGUUUUCGUCAAAGCUUAUAUGUGCCUCCUCUACUGUAGUGUUGCUUUUCAGAUGAAUUACUUGAAGCUUCUUUUGCUUACUUUGCUUACUCAUAAGUAAUUCAUCGAUUUUUCAUAAAAGAGAAAUCAUAUAAAAUGUCAUAAGGAACUGAGUCCCCCCGUCUUCCUCUUAGUGGGACAAGGUCCUAAGCAAACAUUUGAACUUGAAGAUUUAACGCAAUAUGAUGUGCAUUUCUUUAUUUCAAUUAUAGCUUCUUGUUUCACUAAUUGCCAGUAUGAUGCAUGAGCCACAUGAAAGAUUUAGAGCUAUGCCAACUUGCACCCAUUAGGUUUCUUCUAUCAACUUAUAGUUCGAAUAUCUAUUUAUUUUAUGGUAGCAUAGUAGUGUUUCUCUUUACCUUAACAUGCCUAACACAUUACUGAUUUAGGUAUGCUACCGAAAUCUUGCUUCACAUUGUGUCUUAUUUCUUACUUUUACAGAG